rnacentral:rRNA from 1 species
GAUGAACGCUGGCGGCGUGCUUAACACAUGCAAGUCGAGCGAAGCAGUUAAGUUGAUUUCUUCGGAUUGAUUCUUGACUGACUGAGCGGCGGACGGGUGAGUAACGCGUGGGUGACCUUCCCCAUACCGGGGGAUAACAGCCGGAAACGGCUGCUAAUACCGCAUAAGCGCACAGAGCUGCAUGGCUCGGUGUGAAAAACUCCGGUGGUAUGGGAUGGGCCCGCGUCUGAUUAGGCAGUUGGCGGGGUAACGGCCCACCAAACCGACGAUCAGUAGCCGGCCUGAGAGGGCGACCGGCCACAUUGGGACUGAGACACGGCCCAAACUCCUACGGGAGGCAGCAGUGGGGAAUAUUGCACAAUGGGGGAAACCCUGAUGCAGCGACGCCGCGUGAGCGAAGAAGUAUUUCGGUAUGUAAAGCUCUAUCAGCAGGGAAGAUAAUGACGGUACCUGACUAAGAAGCCCCGGCUAACUACGUGCCAGCAGCCGCCGUAA